CAUGAUCAGAAAACCAGGCGAAUCAAAGGAUUUGCUAAUAUUUCUUAUAUGAUGUAAUGUUAGCAAUUUGGAAAUUCUGGGUUUGGUCUCCAUUACCAUGUCCAAGAUUUAAUCAACUAAAGGAGUGGCUAAACUUAUUGUGAGCUGGUAGCAUUUCCUAUCCAUAGACACCUGAUAUUAACGCAAGAGACUAGAGACCACCUUUUUUGCACCUACCCAAUCGUUCACCUGAGUGAAAUGAAAGUGUUGAACAUGCCAGUGAUAUGGCAUUUUGCAAGGCCAGACAUUACCAUGAAUCCUGAAAACCUGAAAUCUCUCCAGGAAAAUGGGCUGAAGCCUUCGAGAAGUUUGGAGAAAGCCCUCUAUCUGAGUGUCCUUCCAAGAUGUACUCCAUCUAUUUGGGAGUUUCCAGCGCUGUCUAGGAAAUCUCAGAGUACCAUAUGUGGAAGUAAAGCCUCUUCUACAUUUCUCAGCAUGGUCCUCCUGGUGCUGGAUCCCUUGAAUGGAGUCUGGAGCUUCAUUCCUCAUCCUGGUUUAUGUCUGAAUGUCUGUGAAGGUCAAUGUCUGAGUGGGAUCGAUUCACAGCCCUACGCAAGAUUCCUGUACCAAAUAACAGCAACAGCAAAACAAGACUUUGGAAAUGAGAACAGCUAAAGGUUUUGCUCUUCCAUACGGCGUGUGCAUCCUCUGCAUUGCUUAACAAUUUCAUUAGGAGUCAAGGGAGCUAAGGAUUUUGCAAAAUAAGAUCAUGACGCAGACACAAAAGGGUGGACAUGAGAUGGUUUAGUAAUCUAGAUAUUAUCCUGCAGUAAUCACUGGGAUUCUGAUUAUUCCUGAUCUCUUCUGACAUAUAUAUAAUAAUAGCUGUUUAAUCCAGAUUAUUGUUCAGUAGGGACAUUCAUUGAUAUCUGAAAUGCCUGUAUGUGCAAAUCUGAAAUAAAGCACUUUCAAAAGCACCUUCCCCUGUUUCC
rnacentral:lncRNA from 1 species